CCUACGGGUGGCUGCAGUGAGGAAUAUUGGUCAAUGGGCGCGAGCCUGAACCAGCCAAGUAGCGUGAAGGAUGACUGCCCUACGGGUUGUAAACUUCUUUUAUAAAGGAAUAAAGUGAGGCACGUGUGCCUUUUUGUAUGUACUUUAUGAAUAAGGAUCGGCUAACUCCGUGCCAGCAGCCGCGGUAAUACGGAGGAUUCGAGCGUUAUCCGGAGUUAUUGGGGUUAAAGGGAGCGGAGAUGGGUUGUUAAGUCAGGUGUGAAAGUUUGCGGCUCAACCGUAAAAUUGCAAUUGCUACUGGCAGUCUUGAGUACAGUUGCGGUAAGUUGCAUUCCUAGUGUAGCG
rnacentral:rRNA from 1 species